rnacentral:tRNA from 1 species
UCCCUGGUGGCUCAGACGGUAAAGCAUCUGUCUACAAUGCAGGAGACCCGGGUUCGAGCCCUGGUUUGGGAA